GAUGAACGCUGGCGGCGUGCCUAAUACAUGCAAGUAGAACGCUGAAGGAAGGAGCUUGCUCUUUCCGGAUGAGUUGCGAACGGGUGAGUAACGCGUAGGUAACCUGCCUGGUAGCGGGGGAUAACUAUUGGAAACGAUAGCUAAUACCGCAUAACAGUAGAUGUUGCAUGACAACUAUUUGAAAGGGGCAAUUGCUCCACUACCAGAUGGACCUGCGUUGUAUUAGCUAGUUGGUGAGGUAACGGCUCACCAAGGCGACGAUACAUAGCCGACCUGAGAGGGUGAUCGGCCACACUGGGACUGAGACACGGCCCAGACUCCUACGGGAGGCAGCAGUAGGGAAUCUUCGGCAAUGGACGGAAGUCUGACCGAGCAACGCCGCGUGAGUGAAGAAGGUUUUCGGAUCGUAAAGCUCUGUUGUAAGAGAAGAACGAGUGUGAGAGUGGAAAGUUCACACUGUGAAGGUAUCUUACCAGAAAGGGACGGCUAACUACGUG
rnacentral:rRNA from 1 species